GAUGAACGCUAGCGGCAGGCCUAACACAUGCCAGUCGAGGGGUAGAAGGAGCUUGCUCCUUUGAGACCGGCGCACGGGUGCGUAACGCGUAUGCAAUCUACCUUGUACAGGGGAAUAGCCCAGAGAAAUUUGGAUUAAUGCCCCAUAGUAUAUAACCUUCGCAUGUUGGUUAUAUUAAAGUUCCAACGGUACAAGAUGAGCAUGCGUCCCAUUAGUUAGUUGGUAAGGUAACGGCUUACCAAGACGAUGAUGGGUAGGGGUCCUGAGAGGGAGAUCCCCCACACUGGUACUGAGACACGGACCAGACUCCUACGGGAGGCAGCAGUGAGGAAUAUUGGUCAAUGGUCGCAAGACUGAACCAGCCAUGCCGCGUGCAGGAAGACGGUCCUAUGGAUUGUAAACUGCUUUUAUACAGGAAGAAACCCUCCCACGUGUGGGAGCUUGACGGUACUGUAGGAAUAAGGAUCGGCUAACUCCGUG
rnacentral:rRNA from 1 species